GCCUAGGUGGCUCAGUCGGUUGAGCGGCCAACUUCGGCUCAGGUCAUGAUCUCUCGGUCCGUGGGUUCGAGCCCCACGUUGGGCU
rnacentral:tRNA from 1 species